rnacentral:lncRNA from 1 species
GUCGGUCUUCGCUGCGAGCGCCUGUGCCCGCCGCCCACGUCCUCCCGGUCCCCGUCGUCAAUGCGGGCGCAGCACCACCCACCAGCUUUAAGGCGGCCGAAGCCGCGGACCCUCGUCCUGAGGUCACCGCCAGAGGCGUGGAGGAGCGGGGCCCGGGGCCCGGGAGCCGGUUCCCCCAGGACCGUGAGGCUGCAGCCAGCCCCGAGGGGCGGCGCCGGCCAGAGGCUCUGUGAUAGUGCAGGUGCGUGCGGGUGCGUGCGGGUGCGUACGGGUGUGUACGGGUGUGUGCAGGUGCGUACAGGUGUGUGCGGGUGUAUGCGGGUGCGUGCAGGUGCGUGCGGGUGCGUGCGGGUGUGUGCAGGUGCGUGGGGUGUGUACGGGUGCGUGCAGGUGCGUGCGGGUGUGUACAGGUGUGUGCAGGUGCGUGCGGGUGUGUACAGGUGUGUGCAGGUGCAUGCGGGUGUGUACGGGUGUGUGCAGGUGCGUACAGGUGUGUGCGGGUGUAUGCGGGUGCGUGCAGGUGCGUGCGGGUGCGUGCGGGUGUGUGCAGGUGCGUACAGGUGUGUGCGGGUGUAUGCGGGUGCGUGCGGGUGUGUACGGGUGCGUGCGGGUGUGUGCAGGUGCGUGCGGGUGUGUACAGGUGUGUGCAGGUGCAUGCGGGUGUGUACGGGUGUGUGCAGGUGCGUACAGGUGUGUGCGGAUGUAUGCGGGUGCGUGCAGGUGCGUGCGGGUGCAUGCGGGUGUGUACGGGUGUGUGCAGGUGCGUACAGGUGUGUGCGGAUGUAUGCGGGUGCGUGCAGGUGCAUGCGGGUGCAUGCGGGUGUGUACGGGUGUGUGCAGGUGCGUGGGGUGUGUAUGGGUGGGUGCAGGUGCGUGCGGGUGUGUACGGGUGCGUGCAGGUGCGUGCAGGUGCGUGCGGGUGCGUGCGGGUGUGUACAGGUGUGUGCGGGUGCGUGCAGGUGCGUGGGGUGUGUACGGGUGCGUGCAGGUGCGUGCGGGUGCGUGCGGGUGUGUACGGGUGCGUGCGGUGCGUGCAGGUGUGUGCAGGUGCGUGCAGGUGAGGGCCUCUCCUGCCUGAGUCCAGCCAGACACAGGCUCAGCCUCCAGGGCAGAGCCCUCAGUGGGGCCCGGCCCGCGCCAGUACCCAGUACCCGGCUCCGCGAGCUCUGCGGGGUGGGGGUGGGGGUGGGGUGGGGUGGGGGUGUCUCAGCUCCUCCCCCCCCCCCCCCCCCCGGGGAGACGCAGGCUGGGGCUGGGCCUUGUCGUUUCGCUGUCGGGCAGGAGCGCCGACUCCUCCUCCAGGAGGCCCGCCCG